rnacentral:rRNA from 1 species
CAGCAGCCGCCGCGGGAAUACGUAGGGUGCAAGCGUUAAUCGGAAUUACUGGGCGUAAAGCGUGCGCAGGCGGUUAUAUAAGACAGAUGUGAAAUCCCCGGGCUCAACCUGGGAACUGCAUUUGUGACUGUAUAGCUAGAGUACGGCAGAGGGGGAUGGAAUUCCGCGUGUAGCAGUGAAAUGCGUAGAUAUGCGGAGGAACACCGAUGGCGAAGGCAAUCCCCUGGGCCUGUACUGACGCUCAUGCACGAAAGCGUGGGGAGCAAACAGGAUUAGAUACCCCCGUAGUCCCUGUCUCUUAUAC